UAAACACGUCUCUUAUCCCCCUCAAAAUAUGCAUAUCCCAUCCAAUGAACGGGGAUAAAUACACGACAAGUAUUCCAUAUCUGAAAAACUCACAAAAGGAUGACACAUGUUUAAAGGGACAGAAAAAGAUUUGGAAGAUCCCAGAGGCACAAGGUUUGGUAAUACAAAAAAAUCUCAGAAUCCACUGCUUAGGACACAGAUCUGGGAAGUAAUUAAU
rnacentral:lncRNA from 1 species